rnacentral:rRNA from 1 species
GACGAACGCUGGCGGCGUGCCUAAUACAUGCAAGUAGGACGCAGUUGCGAACGGGGGAGUAACGAGUAGGUAACUGCCUAUUAGAGGGGGAUAACUAUUGGAAACGAUAGCUAAUACCGCAUACUAGUAGAUGGACCUGAGUUGUAUUAGCUAGUAGGUCGGGUAAUGGCCUCCCUAGGCGACGAUACAUAGCCGACCUUGAGGGGGGGUCGGCCACACCUGGAAGGUGGCACGGGCCAAACGUCUACCGGAGGCAGCAGUGGGGGAUUUGCGGCAAUGGGGGGAAAGCGUAACGGAGAACGGCGCGGGAGUGAAGAAGGUUUUCGGGUCGGAAAGCUCUUGUGUUAAGGAAGCGGUACUUAACCAGAAAGGGACGGCUAACUACGUGCCAGCAGCCGCGGUAAUAC